rnacentral:rRNA from 1 species
AACGUAGGAGACAAACGUUAUCCGGAGUUACUGGGCGUAAAGGGCGUGUAGGCGGUUAGUUAAGUCUGGCGUGAAAGCUCUCGGCUAAACCGGGAGAGGUCGUUGGAUACUGGCUGACUAGAGGACGGUAGAGGCGUGUGGAAUUCCGGGUGUAGUGGUGAAAUGCGUAGAGAUCCGGAGGAACACCAGUGGCGAAGGCGGCAUCCCGGUCUGCGACUGACGCUGUGGCGCGAAAGCUAGGGGAGCGAACGGG